rnacentral:rRNA from 1 species
UACGUAGGGUGCAAGCGUUGUCCGGAAUUAUUGGGCGUAAAGAGCUCGUAGGCGGUUUGUCGCGUCUGCUGUGAAAACGCGAGGCUCAACCUCGCGCCUGCAGUGGGUACGGGCAGACUGGAGUGCGGUAGGGGAGACUGGAAUUCCUGGUGUAGCGGUGAAAUGCGCAGAUAUCAGGAGGAACACCGGUGGCGAAGGCGGGUCUCUGGGCCGAUACUGACGCUGAGGAGCGAAAGCGUGGGGAGCAAACAGG